CCCAGCAACUUGCACUGCCUGAACUGUGAUUUCUGCAUGGGCCCAGCCUGCCCUUGCAAGAAAGUUGGGUGGAUCAGGACCUUGGGUGCCCACAGCUUUGUGAGUUCUUUGUUCUGCAGCAGGGACUAGAAAACGAGACAGGUGACAAGUGAUGGGACAUGAAGUAACAGCAUCAAAUUGCACCAUGAGGAGUUUAGAUUGGAUAUUGGGAAGAAUUUCUUCAAGGAAAGGAUGGUUAGGCUGGAAUGGUCUACCUACUGAAGUGAUGGAGACCCUUUCCCGGAAGAGAGGAGAAAAGCCUGGAUGCCUGGAGUCUCAGUGAUGCAGAAAAUUUGGAUGGAACCUCACUGGAAGAGCAUCCUGAAGUUAUGAAAAAGCAAAUCUAAACCUUUAAGAACAUUUCUACAAAUCAGGUUCUUCAGAAAAGAAAUUGUUA